AUUGAACGCUGGCGGCAUGCUUUACACAUGCAAGUCGAACGGCAGCGCGGGCUUCGGCCUGGCGGCGAGUGGCGAACGGGUGAGUAAUGCAUCGGAACGUGCCCAGUAGUGGGGGAUAGCCCGGCGAAAGCCGGAUUAAUACCGCAUACGACCUGAGGGUGAAAGCGGGGGACCGAAAGGCCUCGCGCUAUUGGAGCGGCCGAUGUCGGAUUAGCUAGUUGGUGGGGUAAGGGCUUACCAAGGCGACGAUCCGUAGCUGGUCUGAGAAGACGACCAGCCACACUGGGACUGAGACACGGCCCAGACUCCUACGGGAGGCAGCAGUGGGGAAUUUUGGACAAUGGGGGCAACCCUGAUCCAGCCAUGCCGCGUGCGGGAAGAAGGCCUUCGGGUUGUAAACCGCUUUUGUUCGGGAAGAAAUCCUCUGGGCUAAUACCCCGGGGGGAUGACGGUACCGGAAGAAUAAGCACCGGCUAACUACGUG
rnacentral:rRNA from 1 species